rnacentral:lncRNA from 1 species
GGUUUGUUUCUCUUCCCUUGCAAGCAGUAAACACCAUCCUAUGCAAGAAAUGAAGCUACCCUUCAAUGCAAGAACCAGGGCUGGUGGUCUGAGAUGGGCUACCAGUCUGGACAGGAUUGCAGAACCGAAACCAGCAUUCAAGUUCCUCCUUGGUGGCAAAUCUGGAAGAUAUGCUAACAGGAGAGCCAGUGCCUUGUUUCCUGCCAGGAAGCGAUAGACACUCUU